rnacentral:Y_RNA from 1 species
GGCUGGUCCGAGUGCAGUGGUGUUAACAACUAAUUGACCACAACCAGAUACAGAUUUCUUUAUUCCUUCUCCACUCCCACUGCUUCACUUGACUAGCUUUAA